rnacentral:rRNA from 1 species
GACGAACGCUGGCGGCGUGCUUAACACAUGCAAGUCGAACGGGAGUAUUGAAGAAGCUUGCUUUAGAGAUGCUUUAGUGGCGGACGGGUGAGUAACGCGUGAGGAGCUGUCCUAUGCAGGGGGACAACAGCUGGAAACGGCUGCUAAUACCCCAUAAGCCGAGAGGUAAAAGGAUCAAUCCGGCAGAGGAGGUACUCGCGUCCUAUCAGCUAGUAGGUGAGGUAACGGCUCACCUAGGCGAAGACGGGUAGCCGGCCUGAGAGGGCGAACGGCCACACUGGAACUGAGAUACGGUCCAGACUCCUACGGGAGGCAGCAGUGGGGAAUUUUGGACAAUGGGCGCAAGCCUGAUCCAGCCAUUCCGCGUGCAGGAUGAAGGCCUUCGGGUUGUAAACUGCUUUGUACGGUAACGAAAAGGUCCUGGUUAAUACCUGGGCGUCAUGACGGUACCGUAAGAAUAAGCACCGGCUAACUACGUGUCCAGCAGCCGCGGUAA